ensembl:lncRNA
AGGAAAGACCAAAAACGGAAACAACUGUUGUCUGUCCAGUCCUUGAGUGAAACCCAGUGCCUGCAGAACUCCUUCAGUGUAACAUCCUUUUCGAGUUGGGGAAAAACACAGUGCUUAAAACCAACCAAACAAAACUGAAAAACUCACCAAAAAACCAAAACAAAACCGUACAACUUGACAGUAUAAGAGUUACUGAUGGCGUCAUCGCCCUACUUGAACCAGAUGCCCUCACCAACCACCAUGCAAUUGUAACAAUUCAAAAGAUGCAAAAGGAUGCUUUGGAGAUCCAAAUUUUGGAACAUAAGUUAUAGGUGGGUGAGGUGCAAACUGGGAUAGGCUACUGUUCCCUGCUCUAAAAACAUACCCAAUAUAAAUGACUUUUUUUUUUUUGUGCUUUCAGGAAAUAAAAAAAAUCCUCAUAAUAAGUAGAUUGUCUUUAUUAGAACACGGGCUGUGGUGGGACAAGUUAUUUUGUUGAACAGUUUACUCAAAGGGUUUUACUUCAGUGAACAAUGCAGACGAUUAUGCUGAGCAUGUGCAUGUAGAGAAGAACAGCAUCUGGUUAAAAGCAGUACCAGGGUAUUUUCUGCCUUGCAUUCUUAAAAUGAGUUUCUUGACUUGCAGCAGUUAUAGGUCCGUGGUUAGUCAGCUACUCUGAUCAUGGGAAAGCCACAACGUUGAAGUGACUGUAGUAGCCUACAGAGCGGGUGGGAUGCACGGGGCGGAUCAUUCUGCACAUGCGUUAAUUGCGAUAAAAAUUAAAAAAUAAACUUAAAGCAUGCCCCCGGUGCGUUUGACAGUUAACAUGGGGGCUGAGAAGGUGGUCUAAAUAAAUGAUAGAUUGCGCUGAAAAACGAUAGCGCUCGUGAAGAAAAUUAUCAGGAAAAUAAAGUAUAUCCAACCGGGGUCUUAAUAAUCGUUCCUCACGGAGAUUCCUUCUGAGGAUCGCAGCCUCUACGUCCACAGGCUCUCGUAGAAAAGGACAUGCCAUUUCUAACACUUCCUUCUGUCGGAGAGCUGCC